UACGUAGGGUGCAAGCGUUGUCCGGAAUUAUUGGGCGUAAAGAGCUCGUAGGCGGUCUGUCGCGUCGGCUGUGAAAUCCCGAGGCUCAACCUCGGGUCUGCAGUCGAUACGGGCAAACUAGAGUAUUGCAGGGGGAGACUGGAAUUCCUGGUGUAGCGGUGAAAUGCGCAGAUAUCAGGAGGAACACCGGUGGCGAAGGCGGGGUCUCUGGGCAUGUCCUGACGCUGAGGAGCGAAAGUGUGGGGGAUCAAAACAGG
rnacentral:rRNA from 1 species